GGUUCUACAGUGUAGUGCUGAGCACUCUGGACUUUGAAUCCAGUGACCUGGGUUCAACUCUGCAGUAGGACCU